rnacentral:lncRNA from 1 species
GAAUUUCCUGAAUCCAAGGGAAUUUCCUGAAUCCAGGGGGAUUUACUGAAUCCUGGGGGGAAUUUCCUGAAUCCAGGGGGAAUUACUGAAUCCAGGGGGAAUUUCCUGAAUCCAGGGGGAAUUACUGAAUCCUGGGGGGAAUUUCCUGAAUCCAAGGGAAUUUCCUGAAUCCAGGGGGAUUUACUGAAUCCUGGGGGGAAUUUCCUGAAUCCAGAGGGAAUUUCCUGAAUCCAGGGGGAAUUUCCUGAAUCCAGGGGGAAUUACUGAAUCCAGGGGGAUUUACUGAAUCCAGGGGGGAAUUUCCUGAAUCCAGGGGGGAAUUUCCUGAAUCCAGGGGGAAUUUCCUGAAUCCAAGGGGGAAUUUCCUGAAUCCAGGGGGGAAUUUACUGAAUCCAGGGGGAUUUACUGAAUCCAGGGGGGAAUUUCCUGAAUCCAGG